AGACCUGUGGCUCAACGGUUAGAGCGUUUGACUUCUGAUCAAUAGGUCAAGGGGUUCAAGCCUC
rnacentral:tRNA from 1 species